UACAGAGGGUGCAAGCGUUGUUCGGAAUCAUUGGGCGUAAAGCGCACGUAGGCGGCCUGCCAAGUCAGGUGUGAAAGCCCAGGGCUCAACCCUGGAAGUGCACUUGAAACUGGUAGGCUUGAGUGUCGGAGAGGGUGGUGGAAUUCCGAGUGUAGAGGUGAAAUUCGUAGAUAUUCGGAGGAACACCAGUGGCGAAGGCGACCACCUGGACGAACACUGACGCUGAGGUGCGAAAGCGUGGGGAGCAAACAGG
rnacentral:rRNA from 1 species